rnacentral:rRNA from 1 species
AACGAACGCUGGCGGCAGGCUUAACACAUGCAAGUCGAACGCCCCUUCGGGGGAGUGGCAGACGGGUGAGUAACGCGUGGGAAUCUACCCAGUUCUGCGGAACAACAGUUGGAAACGACUGCUAAUACCGCAUACGCCCUACGGGGGAAAGAUUUAUCGGAAUUGGAUGAGCCCGCGUAAGAUUAGCUAGUUGGUGAGGUAAUGGCUCACCAAGGCGACGAUCUUUAGCUGGUCUGAGAGGAUGAUCAGCCACACUGGGACUGAGACACGGCCCAGACUCCUACGGGAGGCAGCAGUGGGGAAUAUUGGACAAUGGGCGCAAGCCUGAUCCAGCCAUGCCGCGUGAGUGAUGAAGGCCUUAGGGUUGUAAAGCUCUUUCAGUAGGGAAGAUAAUGACGGUACCUACAGAAGAAGCCCCGGCUAACUUCGUGCCAGCCGCCGCCGUAACAC